rnacentral:ncRNA from 2 species
GAAGAUAUUUCAAUUACAGGUCCUGGGCUUUUUUUGCCCUGGGAUAGUCAAAUGGGAACGCGGUUAAAAUCCGCGACGGUCGCGCCGCUGUGAGCGCCUGUUCCGAUUUUUGACAGGAGGAUUUACUUGAUAAUUAAUCGUUGUCAAUCCUGUUAUCCUGUCGAAAUCUCGAGUCGGAAAUCCGAGAGACGUUUGUCCACUAUCCGCAGCCGAGUCUGCGGCGGAUGGGAAGGAGUCUUGAGGUAAGACGCAAGUCAGAAAACCUGCCUGCAAUUGCACUUUUGU